rnacentral:rRNA from 1 species
UACGUAGGGUGCAAGCGUUGUCCGGAAUUAUUGGGCGUAAAGAGCUCGUAGGCGGUUUGUCGCGUCGAAUGUGAAAACCCGGGGCUCAACCCCGGGCCUGCAUUCGAUACGGGCAGACUAGAGUGCGGUAGGGGAGACUGGAAUUCCUGGUGUAGCGGUGAAAUGCGCAGAUAUCAGGAGGAACACCGGUGGCGAAGGCGGCUCUCUGGAACGCAACUGACGCUGAGACGCGAAAGCGUGGGGAGCAACAGGAUG